UCCCUUCAUAACUGAAGCCUUCUGAAGAAACCUGCGAUAACCUCACCCACCAUGUCAUUGCUACUAGAACUUCUUAGACAAGAAACAUGGACGCAAGAGAGGCAGGAGUGAAACGGGAAGUGAUUUUCCCCCUCUGCUCUGCGCUGUGAGGCCUCACCUGGAGCACUGUAUCUAGCUGGGGAGUCCUCGGUAUGGAAGAGAUGUGAACCUAUUGGAGAGCAUCUGAAGGAGGACCACAAAAAUGACCCAAGGAAUGGAAUGCCUCCCCUACAAGGACAGGCUGAGAGAGCUGAGGCUGUGCAGCCUUGGGAAGAGAAGGCUUCAGGAGAUAUCAGUAUCUGGAGGGAGGCUGUAAGAAGGAAGGAGACUAUUUAGCAGGAGUCUUUUUGACCUUAUUUUCUUCCACUGUCAAACUGAGAAAUGAGACUGAAGCUGGAUAGGCAGCUGGCAGCCAGCCAAGAUCAACCCAUCACAAUAGUUUGAAACCGUAAAUCUUACUGCUGCAUCUUUCUCCACUAGAGAUAGCUGAAAUUACUUCAUCUCAUGAUCAAACUACAAGAAAAUG
ensembl:lncRNA